rnacentral:rRNA from 1 species
GACAGAGGUGCCGAGCGUUAGGCGGAAUCACUGGGCUUAAAGCGUGUGUAGGCGGAUCGUUAAGUACCUUGUGAAAUCCCACGGCUCAACCGUGGAACUGCUGGGUAUACUGGCGGUCUUGAGCCACCUAGGGGGCGAGCGGAACAAGCGGUGGAGCGGUGAAAUGCGUAGAUAUCGCUUGGAACGCCAACGGUGAAAACAGCUCGCUGGGGGUGUGCUGACGCUGAGACACGAAAGCCAGGGGAGCGAACGGG